rnacentral:rRNA from 1 species
GACGAACGCUGGCGGCGUGCUUAACACAUGCAAGUCGAACGGAAAGGCCCUGCUUUUGUGGGGUGCUCGAGUGGCGAACGGGUGAGUAACACGUGAGUAACCUGCCCUUGACUUUGGGAUAACUUCAGGAAACUGGGGCUAAUACCGGAUAGGAGCUCCUGCUGCAUGGUGGGGGUUGGAAAGUUUCGGCGGUUGGGGAUGGACUCGCGGCUUAUCAGCUUGUUGGUGGGGUAGUGGCUUACCAAGGCUUUGACGGGUAGCCGGCCUGAGAGGGUGACCGGCCACAUUGGGACUGAGAUACGGCCCAGACUCCUACGGGAGGCAGCAGUGGGGAAUAUUGCACAAUGGGCGGAGGCCUGAUGCAGCAACGCCGCGUGCGGGAGGACGGCCUUCGGGUUGUAAACCGCUUUCGCCUGUGACGAAGCGUGAGUGACGGUAAUGGGUAAAGAAGCACCGGCUAACUACGU